rnacentral:ncRNA from 1 species
AAGAUAGAGGUUGCGGUUGUUAUCAGUAGGGUUUUUGUAAGAUCUCCCCGGUCGUCUGAGCAGCUCCCGAAAGGAACUACCGCCGAAGAAAGCAGUUUGGGACACUGCUGAUCUGGGGUUGUACCGAACAGGUACAGCACUCUCAUCAUAUGAUGGGGAGCUAUCUUG